ACUACUGGGGUCAAGGGACCAUGGUCACCGUCACUACAGCUAGCAACACGGCCCCGUCUGUCUUCCCUCUGACCUCCUGCACUGGCGAAGGCACCACGUCCCAGGUCACCUUCGGCUGCCUGGCCAAAGGAUACUUCCCCGAGCCGGUCACCGUGACAUGGAGCCCAAACGUCGGCUCCUCGGGCGUGAAGACCUAUCCCUCCAUGCUGCAACCUUCCAGCGGCCUCUACUCCCUCAGCAGCCAGGUCACCGUCCCGGCCAGCAGCUGGGAGUCUGACACCUAUAGCUGCACCGUAGAGCACCAGCCCACCAGCUCCAGCAUCUCCAAGGAAAUCCCAAAGUCCGCCCAAAAUGUACCCAAGGUGAAAGUCCUCUACUCCUGCAACACCAAGCCAGGCGCUGUCGAGCUGGUGUGCUUCAUCUCUGGCUUCUACCCCGAGACUUUGACGGUGGAAUGGCUGGUGGACGGCGUGUCCGGGAUACUAAAGGGUGACACUGAGCCUCCCAAGAAGGACGCCGACGGCCGCACCUUCAGCACCCGCAGCAAUGCCAGUGUCUCCCAGAGCGAGUGGCUGGAGGGCAAGAAGUACACCUGCCAGGUGUCCCACCCAGACACCGGCACCAGAAAGCAGGGCCACGCCAGCAAGUGCGAAGGUUAAGCUCGCCAGCGCUAAGCUCCCUACGAAGAGGAGGGGCAGUGGCGGAUUCAGACUUAGUUGGGCCUUGUGAUCAGCUUCAUUUUGGGGGGCCCCCUUGGGGCCCAGCCGAGAAAAAGAACAUUCUCUCUUAUCUGCCCCUGCCCCUGUUUUUCAUUCUUGUUUUCUUCAUCCUCCUCCUGUAAGUAAUAGCAAGUAAAUGGAAAUAAAAUGAGGUACCUUGA